CAGGAGCACUGCAAGGGAAUGAUUGC
rnacentral:piRNA from 1 species